ACGAAUAGCAGCAACUCAUUUCAGCUUCCCCAAUUUAGGGCAAAUCAUUUCAGCCUCCCCAAUCGCCUCCAUCUCGAUUCUCGUUCUCAACUCUGAACUUGCCCUCUCUCUCUCUCUCUCUCUCUCUGCAACUGCAAACUACAAAAUCUACAAGAAUCAGAAGUUCAAAACCCAUAUAUUUCAUUUUAUCUAUCUGUCUCCAAGAAUCAAAAGUUCAAAACCCAUAUCGGCAUAUCAUUUCAGAUUGUUCAAAACCCGUAUCUCUCAGUUUCCAUCGCCCGCCGUUCCACUUCGGGUUCGCCGUUCGCAAGCUUCAGCCGCUGUCUCUCAACUCUCAAGCUUGCCCCCCUCUCUCUCUGCAACUGCUAACUUGUGAAGCAGUAAGGAAGGAACGCAGUUCACGGAAAAGGAAAACCCUAACCUCAAUCCUCGUGUAAGGUGAAGAAAGAAGGAAGAGAACGCAGGUGCAAGGAGAAGAGAAUCUCACUUCACUGUCUCACUGUUACGGUUAGGGUGGUGGCGGUUCUGAGCCUCUAAGAGGCAUGUCUCCUCAAUCAUCAGGUUUACUUCAUGUAAAGGGAAAAGAGCUCAGUGAAAUGAGUGGAAUCGGAAAAUAUCAUUAUGGAGUCCAUUAUGCAGCUGAUUACCCGUAUAUAUAGGAGGGAGGGGUAUAUCGCAUCAUACCACAGGUUCAUAAAGUCAAAAUAUUAGACUUCAUUGAGCAUUUAUUGAGCAUUUAACUGACGUAGAGCUGACAUAUCAUUUGGAGGGUCAUCCACAGUACUGAGAAUUUUGAAAGAAUGUACCAUAUCAGUAGUGCCUUCGUACAAAGAGCUGUAUUGGGGCCGUGCUUUUACCUCGUUCUUCUAUACCAGAUCUUAUCAUACCCGGAGCUGGAGAUGACGGAGGGCAAGGAAUUUUUCAAGGUAUCAAGGAUAUACCAUGCAGUAUUAGUGGUAAGAUGUGACAUAGACAAGCUCACUGCAGAUUUCAUUUUCCGGAUUCAAAAUUCUUGGGGGACUGAGUGGAGCGAAGAUGGAUUUACCUUCGUACGAGGAACUGUAUUGGACCAUGCUUCUACCUUGUUCUUCCAUAUCGGAUCUUCUCGUACCCAGAGCUGGACAUGACGGAGGCUUGGGUUUUGUCAGGUGUAUAGAUCCAUAUAUAUAUAUCUUUUAGAUUCUGGUACAUUUGAGUUUGUUAUUGCUUCUUCAUUGGAUUAGUUAUAGCCUGAAAAUCUAUGGAAAUUAGCUAUGAAUCUAUUAUAUAAUCUUCUUGUGGUGCAA